GACGAACGCUGGCGGCGUGCUUAACACAUGCAAGUCGAACGGAAAGGCCCUGCUUUUGUGGGGUGCUCGAGUGGCGAACGGGUGAGUAACACGUGAGUAACCUGCCCUUGACUUUGGGAUAACUUCAGGAAACUGGGGCUAAUACCGGAUAGGAGCUCCUGCUGCAUGGUGGGGGUUGGAAAGUUUCGGCGGUUGGGGAUGGACUCGCGGCUUAUCAGCUUGUUGGUGGGGUAGUGGCUUACCAAGGCUUUGACGGGUAGCCGGCCUGAGAGGGUGACCGGCCACAUUGGGACUGAGAUACGGCCCAGACUCCUACGGGAGGCAGCAGUGGGGAAUAUUGCACAAUGGGCGGAAGCCUGAUGCAGCAACGCCGCGUGCGGGAUGACGGCCUUCGGGUUGUAAACCGCUUUCGCCUGUGACGAAGCGUGAGUGACAGUAAUGGGUAGAGAAGCACCGGCUAACUACGUGCCAGCAGCCGCGGUGAUACGUAGGGUGCGAGCGUUGUCCGGAUUUAUUGGGCGUAAAGGGCUCGUAGGUGGUUGAUCGCGUCGGAAGUGUAAUCUUGGGGCUUAACCCUGAGCGUGCUUUCGAUACGGGUUGACUUGAGGAAGGUAGGGGAGAAUGGAAUUCCUGGUGGAGCGGUGGAAUGCGCAGAUAUCAGGAGGAACACCAGUGGCGAAGGCGGUUCUCUGGGCCUUUCCUGACGCUGAGGAGCGAAAGCGUGGGGAGCGAACAGGCUUAGAUACCCUGGUAGUCCACGCUGUAAACGGUGGGUACUAGGUGUGGGGUCCAUUCCACGGGUUCCGUGCCGUAGCUAACGCUUUAAGUACCCCGCCUGGGGAGUACGGCCGCAGGGCUAAAACUCAAAGGAAUUGACGGGGCCCCGCACAAGCGGCGGAGCAUGCGGAUUAAUUCGAUGCAACGCGUAGAACCUUACCUGGGUUUGACAUGGAUCGGGAGUGCUCAGAGAUGGGUGUGCCUCUUUUGGGGUCGGUUCACAGGUGGUGCAUGGCUGUCGUCAGCUCGUGUCGUGAGAUGUUGGGUUAAGUCCCGCAACGAGCGCAACCCUUGUUCACUGUUGCCAGCACGUUAUGGUGGGGACUCAGUGGAGACCGCCGGGGUCAACUCGGAGGAAGGUGGGGAUGACGUCAAGUCAUCAUGCCCCUUAUGUCCAGGGCUUCACGCAUGCUACAAUGGCUGGUACAGAGAGUGGCGAGCCUGUGAGGGUGAGCGAAUCUCGGAAAGCCGGUCUCAGUUCGGAUUGGGGUCUGCAACUCGACCUCAUGAAGUCGGAGUCGCUAGUAAUCGCAGAUCAGCAACGCUGCGGUGAAUACGUUCCCGGG
rnacentral:rRNA from 1 species